rnacentral:rRNA from 1 species
CCCUUAGAUGUUCUGGGCCGCACGCGCGCUACACUGACGAAUGCAACGAGCUUAUAACCUUGGCCGAAAGGUCUGGAUAAUCUCCAAAUUUCGUCGUGAUGGGGAUAGAUUAUUGCAAUUAUUAAUCUUCAACGAGGAAUGCCUAGUAAGCGCAAGUCAUCAGCUUGCGUUGAUUACGUCCCUGCCCUUUGUACACACCGCCCGUCGCUCCUACCGAUUGAAUGGUCCGGUGAAGCGUUCGGACCGUGGCCUUUGGACGGUUCGCCGUCUGUUGGCUGCGGGAAGUUCGUUAAACCUUAUCAUUUAGAGGAAGGAGAAGUCGUAACA